rnacentral:ncRNA from 1 species
AAUUAACUUUACUUUAAUUAUGGUAACUACUAUUUAAAAAUGAUUAUGGGGUGUUUAAAUUUAUCCAGUUCUUAAUAUUUAUCCAUUAUAUAAAAAUAAAAUAAGUUAUUAAAAAUUAUUAAGGUAUAUUAGGUGCCAGCAACCGCGGUCAGACCUAAAUUAAUAAGUAGUAGACAGUAGAAUUUUCAUAAAAAGGACAAAUAUAAAAUUAUUUGUGAAAAUUAAUUUUAUUAUUAAAUUAAAUCUUUUUAAUGUUUAGUUAAUGAAAAAUUAAAUAAAAACUAGGAUUAGAUACCCUAUUAUUUUUUAAGUAUAAAGGAGUUCUGAGUAGUAAAUUAAUUAAUAAUUAAACUCAAAAAGUAUGGCAGUAAUUAGUAACAUUAGGGGAACUUACCAUAUAAUAGAUAAUCAUCAAGUAAAUCAACCAAAGAAAAGUUUGUAUGCCGUCGUUUUACUUACAAGUUAAGCUUGUAAGAUCACCUAUUAAGGUAAAAUAUCAGAUCAAGGUGCAGCAUUUUUUGGAAAUUAGGCGAGUUACAAUAUAGUUUUUUUUCUAUCUAAUGGUAGAUGGACUUAAAAGUAAUAUUUUAUAUUAAUUAAAUAAGAUAUAAAAAGUGAAUUUUACAUUAAUUGUGCACAAAUCGCCCGUCGUUCUCAAAAUUAUUUGAGACAAGUCGUAACAUAGUAGAAGUAGUGGAAACUGUUUCUAUUUAAGU